UCAGAAAAGAACACUUUUCACCCUGCAGGGGAACGCUGUCAGCAUGGUACCCGCUAGCUGGCUGUGGGCAGUGGUGGUCCCCGCCUGUCUGGGAUCCAGCACAGCCCAGACAGUCACUCAGUCUCAACCAGAGAUGUCUGUGCAGGAGGCAGAGACGGUGACCCUUGGCUGCACAUACGACACCAGUGAGAGUGAUUAUUAUUUGUUCUGGUAUAAACAGCCUCCCAACAGGGAGAUGAUUCUCAUCAUUCGCCAAGAAGCUUAUAAGCAAGAAAAUGCAACAAAGAACAGGUUCUCUGGGAACUUCCAGAAAGCAGCCAAAUCCUUCAGUCUCAAGAUCUCAGACUCACAGCUGGGGGACGCCGCAGUGUAUUUCUGUGCUUUCAUGAAAGGCACAGGAGGUGCUAACGGACUCAGCCACCUACCUCUGAGCCACAGGGAACCUGUGCACCCAGAAACCACCUAA